AGGAUAGGAAAGAGAGACAUCCCAAGUGUUAUCGGGUAAGGUGCCCUUGAUAUGCUGAGAAUAUCGGCAUACAUUUAAGGUUUUAAGCCUGAAGGUCUCCUUAGAGAGGGAUACCCACCAAACAUGACUUUGAAUGGCUUUAGUGGGAUUGGAAUUCAUUCCUAUGGAUAAGCAUUAUGGAUUUGUGAUCCUUUUGGGCAAAGGCAAGCUGUAGGGGUUUUUGUUGUGUGAAAAGUUGUGAGGGUAAGGGUAUAUCUCCUUCCAAGAAACAAAGUGGUUGUGAGUGGAGGAUUCACUUUAUUAGUCACUUGUCAAUCUUCCUCUAAACUAUACACAAUGACUUGGCACAUUGUGAAGCACUUUCCAUCCCCCUACUUUCCUUCAAAAUAUGAUUAUGCUUUUACAAUUGCUUGUAGCAGCAGGUCCUCCACUUUCCCUCUCUCCCACCACUCCCAUAUUUUUAAUGAACACUUGAUUUUGCUGUUAUCUGUAUUCACUAUUAUAAUAAUUAUGAUAAACCAGAGAAGAGAUUGAUUCUGAUGAAUCUGCUUUUUUAUGUGAUCAUUGUUUUGUUUUCA